AAUGCCAGUCUUUGAGAACAAUAUCCAGCCUUGUACAUCAUUGCUCGCGAGAAGCACAAUACUAUUGCGCAGGUGCUCAGUUCAUCCCCGCCGAAUAUUUCGUUCAGGCGGGUUUUGAUUGGGCCUCGCCUUACGUCAUGGCAUAAUCUAUUGUCCAGGCUGGAUUCGACUAACCUGACACAAGGCCGCGAUGUGUUUCGCUGGAACCUUACUACAUCGGGGUCUUUCACAGUA
rnacentral:rRNA from 1 species